AUGGACGUAAACGCUAGCCCCGGCCCGGACGGCUUCGGACCCGCUUUCUUCAAAGCAAACUGGAACCUAGUCAAAGAUGACUUGCUCUCCCUUCUCUCUGAUUUUCACAGCUGUUCGGUGGAUCUGCGGCGCAUUAACAAAGCUUAUAUUGUCCUGGUUCCCAAAAAAUUAGGGGCAAAUCAACCCGAAAACUUUAGACCGGUCUCCCUCCAGAAUUGUGCAGUUAAGAUUGCAUCUAAAUGUUUAGCUAAUCGGACGCAAGUUGUCAUUCCUGAUAUUAUCCACCAAUUCCAAUCUGGUUUCAUUAGGGGCAGAGGAAUCACGGAUAAUUUUCUCCACGCCACCGACAUCAACCAGUCGUGCUUCAAAAGGAAAAUUCCCUCCAUUGUUCUUAAACUAGAUUUCCACAAAGCUUUUGACUCCGUUUCCUGGGCCGCUCUCUCUGCUAUUCUUUGUGCUAAAGGCUUUCCUGGGCUUUGGGAUAGAUGGAUCAAACUUCUUAACGGCACCUCUACCUCUGCUAUCUUGCUUAAUGGGAGACACGGGUCGUGGUUUCCAUGUCACGCGGGCUUAAGGCAGGGUGACUCCCUCUCGCCCUACCUAUUCAUUGUGAUCGCUGACGUUCUGCAACGCUUGAUCACCCAGGCCUCAGCGACCGGCAUGCUUUCUCACCCCCUAGAUCCCACUCUGCCGUGCCCAGUUUUGCAAUACGCCGAUGACACACUGAUUGUGUUGCCAGCUUCUGCAGACCAACUCCUUCCCCUCAAGCGACUUCUCUUGCAAUUUUCAGAGGCCACUAAACUCACUAUUAAUUUUAGCAAAAGCACCUUCUCCCCCAUUCAUGUUGACGCGGAUACCUCUCGGCAUCUUGCCACGUUGCUAGCUUCCCUCUAUCCUACCUGGGUCUCCCGCUAUCUACUUCAAAGCUAA
rnacentral:rRNA from 1 species